rnacentral:rRNA from 1 species
UACGUAGGGUGCAAGCGUUGUUCGGAAUUACUGGGCGUAAAGCGUGCGCAGGCGGUUUUGUAAGACCGAUGUGAAAUGCCCGGGCUUAACCUGGGAACUGCAUUUGUGACUGCAUGGCUAGAGUUUGGCAGAGGGGGGUAGAAUUCCACGUGUAGCAGUGAAAUGCGUAGAUAUGUGGAGGAACACCGAUGGCGAAGGCAGCCCCCUGGGUCAAGACUGACGCUCAUGCGCGAAAGCGUGGGGAGCAAACAGG